GUAAUGACUUCUCUUCAUUUUGACGCUCGGACUCUCAUUUGUUCAGGAUGUCAGACACUCCCGGCUAGAGGUGAGGGUAGGGGCCCCUUUAGGGAGUCUGCGCCUGCAUACCACUGUCAUUGCAAACUUGUCAUUACUGCCACAAUCACUGCCUUAGUGAUUCAUCGUUGGUCAGCCCUCGAAGGGGCCCCGGACUGGGGCCCCAAUGCUUUGCCUGCCUUGACUGUGAGUAGGCAGCGCCCCUGGCUCUGGCUCUGUAUUCCCGGAAACUUCCUCGCAGAGAUCGAAAGUAGCCCCCUUGGUUUGAGGUAGUUUCUCUACACGGGCUCGGCGUGAGCUCAUCUGUGGGCGACGGCAGACACGUAAGCAGACAUGAAUGUUCCACUGCUGCUCCUUGGUGCUCUGGAAGACCUGCUUGAUGAGUACUUCAAAACAUUUAAGUGGUACCUCUCAAUGAGGGUCUUGGACAGCUGUGAACCCAUUCCCAAAAGUCGUCUGGAGAAGGCGCUCCGGCCUGAAACUGUCAGUAAGAUGAUAGAAUGCUAUGGCGAAGAGCUGGCUGUGGAAGUUACUGUCAAAAUCCUGAGGAACAUGAGGAUGAACAGUGCUGCAGAAGAGUUAAAGAAAGCACACACAGCGAGGGAAACAUCUGCACCCUCCACCUCUUCUCCUGCUGUGACACCUGCUACUGCUGCACCUGCAAUAUCAGCUCAGCAAGGGGGAGUGAUCAUAGCCCCGAUGGUCCACGGUGGCUCCACGGUGGGGGCGUGGAAUAUAACCAUCAACAAACCAAAUGAAUGAAAUGAAUGAAUUCAGGGCAGGUCAACUAGAAGUUAGGUUUCAUUCAUUUGUUCUUUACACAGUGAGACCAUAUCUCUUUGUAUCUCUCUGUAUAAACAUCCAGCAGCUCAGGGUUAUGAAUUCAGAGUUUUAUAUAUGUACUGUAUAUAUAUAUGUAUAUAUAUACAUAUAUAUAUAUGUCCUGUGGUGGUAAAUUCAGUGCACAUUGUAGUCAUUAAAAUAUUUGCAGAUAGGAGAUUUACUACUAUCAUGCUUUACAUGUUAUCCAGGCAUGUGGAUACCAAGACACUGUUUACCCAUGAAUUUGUAAUAAAAUAUUUUUUACCUCAUGUAAUGAUGAAGAAUGUAAUUUAUUCUUAAUAGAUAGUGUCUUCUCAAAACUUUAUUGAUUAAUGUCUUCCCA
ensembl:lncRNA